GCUGUGAUGGUUAAGUGGUUGUUAAGGCGUUGGACUAGAAAUCCCAUGGGGUUUCCCCGCGUAGGUUUGGAUCCUGCUCGCAGCG
rnacentral:tRNA from 1 species